UCGUAACAAGGUCUCCGUUGGUGAACCAGCGGAGGGAUCAUUACUGAGUUUACGCUCUACAACCCUUUGUGAACAUACCUAUAACUGUUGCUUCGGCGGGUAGGGUCUCCGUGACCCUCCCGGCCUCCCGCCCCCGGGCGGGUCGGCGCCCGCCGGAGGAUAACCAAACUCUGAUUUAACGACGUUUCUUCUGAGUGGUACAAGCAAAUAAUCAAAACUUUUAACAACGGAUCUCUUGGUUCUGGCAUCGAUGAAGAACGCAGCGAAAUGCGAUAAGUAAUGUGAAUUGCAGAAUUCAGUGAAUCAUCGAAUCUUUGAACGCACAUUGCGCCCGCCAGCAUUCUGGCGGGCAUGCCUGUUCGAGCGUCAUUUCAACCCUCAAGCUCUGCUUGGUGUUGGGGCCCUACGGCUGACGUAGGCCCUCAAAGGUAGUGGCGGACCCUCCCGGAGCCUCCUUUGCGUAGUAACUUUACGUCUCGCACUGGGAUCCGGAGGGACUCUUGCCGUAAAACCCCCAAUUUCCAAAGGUGACCUCGAUCAGG
rnacentral:rRNA from 1 species